GAAUGGCGAAAAUGUAAAAUACAACGAAAUUCCCGAUUAGUUAAUUAUGUUUGCACAAAAUUUAGUGCUACAGAUGUAACGCCUGAUACACAGAAGAAGAUAAAGUUAAACAUUUCGAUGUUUCGUCAAAAUUUUCGAAAAAAUGGACUGAAACAAAUAUGAUGAUUGAACGUUUUUUAAACAAAAAUGGCAGUUGGUUAGAAGGAGCAGAUUUACAAUUUUACCUACAAAUGGAACAUCCCUGCCCUACCUCAUCAACUGGAAGCAAUCGACCUGAAGGUAGACCAAAAAAAAAUUUUGAAGAGUCGUCUUUUAAAACGAAAAAACCAAGGGUCGAAGACUUACUACAAUCGCGAAGUGCCAUCGAGUUCACAGGAGCCGCGGAAGUAGCAAAUCGCUUUGAGGGUAAUAGAAGCAUAGCUACUUCGAUUAAAGUUUGAAAUCUACAGAAAAAAGAAGUAUGGUAAUACCACAUGCGAAGGCAGGCAAUUGGCAAGUGAUGAGGCAUUAGCUUAUUAUGUGGAUUCUAAGUGCACAAGUUACUCCUGUAAACAGACGCGUAAAUGGUCAUUGAAGGCGGGACAUAAAGUUUUUCUAUCCUAUUUUAGUUUACGUAAGUCUAAAAAUUUGUGUUACCCUGCAGAUGAGCAUAUCUUGGUAACAGAAACGCGCGCCGAAAUUAUACUUCAACGCAUUUUGGAUAAAACCGCUAAACGUUUAAUUGAAGCGCAAUGUGAAGUUUUUAAAGCAAAUAUAUCUUCUAAGUCGUCAUUCACACUAAUCAGCAAAUGGGGAUGUGACGGAAGCUCCGGCCAUAGCGCUUAUAAACAGAAAUUUGAGAACUGCGAUGCUACUGAUGAGUAUAUGUUUGUUUUUGCUAUUGUCCCAUUGAGAUUGAGUGACGAUGCCAGCCAAAAUAUUUUAUGGCAAAAUCCGCGGCCUUCGUCCACACUCUAUUGUCGCCCAAUUAAGCUUAUUUUUUAUAAAGGAAACAACUGAUUUUACUAUAUCAGAAACUAACAAGGUUUUGGAAGAAGUAUCUCAAUUUCUUCCAACACUUUGUGAUAAUCGCGGUUCUCAAAUUUUGGUAAAACGUAAUAUAGAUUUACUACAUAUGCUUUUAAUAACAUCCGAUCCGGUAAUCAACUAACUCAGAGAAGUUCCUAGAAAGAGAACAGAUAAAUUACCGGAGGAAGUUCUAAAUUUAAUUGUCCCGCCUUCAAUACCAUCAAAAGUACCACGUCAGGUAACAUGUGACCAUGACGAUAAAGAUUAUCUAGUAUCUGAUUCAGAUGAAUCUAACAGUGAUGAUGAGUCAUUCAAUGAGUAAUGAUAUAGUAUAUAAUAUUAAACAUUUUGUUGUUGUGUGUUAUUGUUAUUUUUAUAUUACUGUUAUUAUAAGGUCUGUUGGUAAAAAUUCCCUUACUAAUCAUCGCGUUUUUCAAUAGUUGUAAUGUAAUGGACUUAUGUAUUAGUACGUAUUUUAUACAUCCAAGUAAAUGUUAUUGUAUGUUUUGAAAUUUAAAAAAAUAAUUAAAUAUAUUUCUUACACAAUUUUUUGUUUUCUAUUCGUAAAUCUAAAAAAAAAUAUAUUAAUUUUUCAAUGAAACUUAAAAUCAUUAAUCAACACGACCAAAACAAUUAAAUUUCAAACUAAAAUAUUUUUGUCCCCCUAGCUUGUAUUAAACGACACACUGUGCAGCCGGGGGAUGCAGAGGAAGAGGAAGAUCUCACCUCCGUUGGAAGGAGCAAGUAUGGAAGGACCUGGCUUCGCUUGGAAUAUUCAAUUGGCGACACGUAGCGAAAAGAAAAAACGACUGGUGCGGUGUUGUUAUUGCAGCUAACGGGUGAUUUUUUUGAGGUUAGGAUUUUCAUGCAUUAGUAUUUGACAGAUCACGUGGGAUUUCAGACAUGGUGUCAAAGAGAAAGAUGCUCAGUAUGCUUUGACAUUUCAUCAUGAAUAGACUUACUAACGAGCAACGCUUGCAAAUCAUUGAAUUUUAUUACCAAAAUCAGUGUUCGGUUCGAAAUGUGUUUCGCGCUUUAUUUUGUUCAGCGAUGAGGCUCAUUUCUGGUUGAAUGGCUACGUAAAUAAGCAAAAUUGCCGCAUUUGGGGUGAAGAGCAACCAGAAGCCGUUCAAGAACUGCCCAUGCAUCCCGAAAAAUGCACUGUUUGGUGUGGUUUGUACGCUGGUGGAAUCAUUGGACCGUAUUUUUUCAAAGAUGCUGUUGGACGCAACGUUACGGUGAAUGGCGAUCGCUAUCGUUCGAUGCUAACAAACUUUUUGUUGCCAAAAAUGGAAGAACUGAACUUGGUUGACAUGUGCUCGCGAUUCUAUGGCCAUUUUGAGGGAAAACUUCGGACAACAAUUCAUCUCAAGAAAUGGACCCGUAAGUUGGCCACCAAGAUCAUGCGAUUUAACGCCUUUAGACUAUUUUUUGUGGGGCUACGUCAAGUCUAAAGUCUACAGAAAUAAGCCAGCAACUAUUCCAGCUUUGGAAGACAACAUUUCCGAAGAAAUUCGGGCUAUUCCGGCCGAAAUGCUCGAAAAAGUUGCCCAAAAUUGGACUUUCCGAAUGGACCACCUAAGACGCAGCCGCGGUCAACAUUUAAAUGAAAUUAUCUUCAAAAAGUAAAUGUCAUGAACCAAUCUAACGUUUCAAAUAAAGAACCGAUGAGAUUUUGCAAAUUUUAUGCGUUUUUUUUUUAAAAAAAGUUAUCAAGCUCUUAAAAAAUCACCCUUUAUAAUCGCGUAAGCGGUGUCUACGCCGAAGAAGAAUAUUUAAAAGGUGGAAAUUAAAGAAAUCUAAUGAAUGAUUAAUUUUUUAGUAAAUUUAACCGUGGAUAACUUGGUGGAUAGCUUUUGCUUCUAAAGUACAAAAAAGCAAGGAAUCAAGCGAAUUUUUUUAUAUGGCUUAUCACCGAAAUUAAAAAAAAAAUGGAACAAUAGUAAAAUCUGAAACAUUAAAACGAUUCUAUUCUAGGUAGGUAGGAGUGCAGCCCUGUUGUUGCUCGGGCUCAACUAGCACUGGCUCUGUCAUUUUGUUGCACUAUUCGUAGACAUUUUAUAUUUGCUACCACAUUUUUAUAUUUGCUUGCACCUUCACUUUCAAACCAUUUUGAAGUUUCGAUGAAGCUACUUAUGUCCGAUAAGCUUUUGGACAUAAUGGCCAGUGCCCUGUUAUGGUAGCUGUUACUCUGUAGAUACUUUUCAUAGACCUAUUUAACUCUGGCUCACCAAUGUUAGUCGUUUCGUCGUUUUUUUUUUUUAUCUAUCGUCCUCUGAUUUAAUAUUGUGACAGUUGAUUCAGUUGCAAAGCUACUGCCGAUGAACACAGUCACGUUGUGUGGAUUAGCUGAAGGGUAUGUAUGUGUUUGUAAAAGUAAGGUAGUCGUUAAACUUAGAUGUGUACAAAACCACAUAUGCGUAUUGAGUAAUGGCAACAUUGUUCGAAUGAAAACGAGAACAAAACGCUUGCCGCUCGUGGCGAAGUGAGAAGAUGUUUCUGCCAUUAGCGUUUGUAUUCUAUUUGUGUGCUUAGCCACUCUCAAUCAAUAAUGCCAUACCGCGCAAAUAUUGUAUAUUUUUAUUUGAUGAUUUCUUAUAUUUUUGAAAAUAUGUGUUCCCUUUCUAUAGCGCAUAUUAUUAUUUUAAUACAUUUCCAGAGGCAACUUAGAUUUUUAAAAUUUAACAAAACAAUUACAUAUAGAAAAAAACCUCAAUUCUUUGAAUAUUUUGAUAAAACAACCAAACUGAAACUAUCACAAAUCAUAUAUUUAUAUAAGCAUUUUCAUUAAAUGGAACUGCAAUAUGUUUAAACACAAUAUGUAAAUAUAACGGUCACAAGUAUCUUCUUUUUUAUAUAUGCAGAUAUGCAUAUGUACGUAUAAAAGCCCACAACUUGAGAAAAGUUUGCCCAAUUGUAUCUAAAAUGAAUUUUUACAACUGGCAUCACCACCAUUAACUGAUCUAUCACAUGUACAGUGGUGUGAACAAAAUAGGAACAAAUAUAGGUGUUGUGAAGUUUUAAAAUGUGCUGUUUUCUUAUUAAAUAAAAUUGUUUUUAGAUACAAGUAUAACUUAUAUAUUUUUUCCUAACAGUGAUUAGAAUUUCCCACCAUGCAAAAGUAAAUAAAAACAAAUUUUAAUGCGAACCUCUAAACCCUGCAAAUUAUGUUUACCUCUUUUUGUUCACACAAGUGUACAAUUCCGAUAUGAAGUAAACUUCCGCUCUUUAAUUUGUGUACAAUGUCAGUAUUGCCGCAACCACUCUGCGAUGAACAUUAAGUUACGGAGGAAUGUAAUUGAUUUUUUUCGCAACUUUUCGCAACUUGUU